AGGAAUGUAGCCCAGCGGCACAGGCCCUGCCUGGCAAGCACAAGGUCGUGGGUUCAAUUCCCACUGCUCCCU
rnacentral:tRNA from 1 species